rnacentral:rRNA from 1 species
AAAUUGAAGAGUUUGAUCAUGGCUCAGAUUGAACGCUGGCGGCAGGCCUAACACAUGCAAGUCGAGCGGUAGCACAGAGAGCUUGCUCUCGGGUGACGAGCGGCGGACGGGUGAGUAAUGUCUGGGAAACUGCCUGAUGGAGGGGGAUAACUACUGGAAACGGUAGCUAAUACCGCAUAACGUCGCAAGACCAAAGUGGGGGACCUUCGGGCCUCAUGCCAUCAGAUGUGCCCAGAUGGGAUUAGCUAGUAGGUGGGGUAACGGCUCACCUAGGCGACGAUCCCUAGCUGGUCUGAGAGGAUGACCAGCCACACUGGAACUGAGACACGGUCCAGACUCCUACGGGAGGCAGCAGUGGGGAAUAUUGCACAAUGGGCGCAAGCCUGAUGCAGCCAUGCCGCGUGUGUGAAGAAGGCCUUCGGGUUGUAAAGCACUUUCAGCGGGGAGGAAGGCGUUAAGGUUAAUAACCUUGGCGAUUGACGUUACCCGCAGAAGAAGCACCGGCUAACUCCGUGCCAGCAGCCGCGGUAAUACGGAGGGUGCAAGCGUUAAUCGGAAUUACUGGGCGUAAAGCGCACGCAGGCGGUCUGUCAAGUCGGAUGUGAAAUCCCCGGGCUCAACCUGGGAACUGCAUUCGAAACUGGCAGGCUAGAGUCUUGUAGAGGGGGGUAGAAUUCCAGGUGUAGCGGUGAAAUGCGUAGAGAUCUGGAGGAAUACCGGUGGCGAAGGCGGCCCCCUGGACAAAGACUGACGCUCAGGUGCGAAAGCGUGGGGAGCAAACAGGAUUAGAUACCCUGGUAGUCCACGCCGUAAACGAUGUCGAUUUGGAGGUUGUGCCCUUGAGGCGUGGCUUCCGGAGCUAACGCGUUAAAUCGACCGCCUGGGGAGUACGGCCGCAAGGUUAAAACUCAAAUGAAUUGACGGGGGCCCGCACAAGCGGUGGAGCAUGUGGUUUAAUUCGAUGCAACGCGAAGAACCUUACCUGGUCUUGACAUCCACAGAACUUUCCAGAGAUGGAUUGGUGCCUUCGGGAACUGUGAGACAGGUGCUGCAUGGCUGUCGUCAGCUCGUGUUGUGAAAUGUUGGGUUAAGUCCCGCAACGAGCGCAACCCUUAUCCUUUGUUGCCAGCGGUUCGGCCGGGAACUCAAAGGAGACUGCCAGUGAUAAACUGGAGGAAGGUGGGGAUGACGUCAAGUCAUCAUGGCCCUUACGACCAGGGCUACACACGUGCUACAAUGGCAUAUACAAAGAGAAGCGACCUCGCGAGAGCAAGCGGACCUCAUAAAGUAUGUCGUAGUCCGGAUUGGAGUCUGCAACUCGACUCCAUGAAGUCGGAAUCGCUAGUAAUCGUAGAUCAGAAUGCUACGGUGAAUACGUUCCCGGGCCUUGUACACACCGCCCGUCACACCAUGGGAGUGGGUUGCAAAAGAAGUAGGUAGCUUAACCUUCGGGAGGGCGCUUACCACUUUGUGAUUCAUGACUGGGGUGAAGUCGUA